GACCCAGUGGGUGCAGUGGUUUGAGCACUGGACUAGGACUCUGGAGACCAGGGUUUGAAUCCUGAUUUGGUCA